UGUAUCUAGAAUUAAUGCAAAAGAAAAUAAUAACAAUAAUGUGUAUAAUCGGCUGUCGCAAACAUUUUAGUGGAAUUUCGGGAAGAGAACAUGAAUGAAAAAUUACAAGUAAUUUUGACUUGUGAUUUUAUCUCAACAGCCAUGCUUUAUCUUCCGUACGAUCGCGCGUCGCAGUCGAAGACAGCGCGACUGUCGCUAUUGUUGCGUUGUACAGCGUACCGCAACGUACGAUCAUAGAUACAUCUCGAUACAGGAAAAAGUCACUUCAUUCAGCGGUAUACUAAACGUGAACACUACAGCGUACAUAGACAUGCGUGAAAUUACGAAUCACGGAUAUAUUGAGAUUGAGUGGAACAGAAGCUCGCGAGAGCACUUUUACAACCUUCCACGCGAGAGCAUAGUACUUUUGCCCAAAGAAUGAAAAGAAGUGGAAACGGAGGAGAGGAGGGGAAGAACGAAUGGAGAUGGAGUCCCUAGAAGACGCAUCCCUUGGAUCUCGUGACGAUAGUUUCCCCGAUAGUUACCUAUCCUAAAACGCGAAAUUAUGUUGCAUACCUCUCGGUUUCGCACAUUUUUGGUCGUUUUCUCUGUCACACGAGUUUCUUUUUUUUUUUGCAUUUUUCUCUUUUCUUUAUCCGCAAAAUUUCCGAACACGUACACACAUUCCCGGAUUAUCUCUUACGUAUAUAUGUAGAGUUCCCCUUAAAUAUAUAUUAUAGAUAUACCUUACUGACUAACGCGAAAAAAGAAGGACAAACGCCAACUAUACUCGUUAGAAUGAACGUCUGUCUUAUCGGACAAGACACGAGAAUAUCACAUUGCAGAUGUAUAUGUAUGUGUAGGUGUAUGUAUGUGGGUAUGUAUUAAUUCCUCUUCUUUCUUUUUAUUCCCUCAAUAAUAACAUCGCUUAAAAGAUAAGGAGUUCUUAUAUCAAGUUUUACACCUUGCGACAAUAGGCGCGCGUGCAAUGUGUGCGUAUAUAUACAUGCGAAUACGGCGAAUGCGGUGAAUACCGAUCUUUGUCUUUUCCUUCGUUCUUUUUCUACUUUUUCCCAUUUUGUCUUUUCGAUCGAUGUCGCGAUCGAUUUCCUCGCCGAAUUUUAGUAUAUCGAUAACUAAAAACAAAAUGUGGCCCGAAGAUCAUUGCAGCUUGCAGAGGAAUCCAAUGUUAGAUUUUAUUUUUAAGUUGACGCUCCGUGUCACACGCUUUAAAUACAUAUUAUUAAGCUAAUAAUACAUGCAUUCGAGUGAGAAAUAAGUAAUAUUUCGUAAAGGGCUUCGCAGUGGGUCUU